AGUUGCCAGCAUUCAGUUGGGCACUCUAAGGUGACUGCGGCUAAAAGUCGGAGGAAGUGGGGAUGACGUCAAAUCAUCAUGCCCCUUAUGACCUGGGCUACACACGUGCUACAAUGGGCGGUACAAAGGGUCGCGAACCCGCGAGGGGGAGCCAAUCCCAAAAAGCCGCUCUCAGUUCGGAUUGCAGGCUGCAACUCGCCUGCAUGAAGCCGGAAUCGCUAGUAAUCGCGGAUCAGCAUGCCGCGGUGAAUACGUUCCCGGGCCUU
rnacentral:rRNA from 1 species